rnacentral:lncRNA from 1 species
GCCACAGACACGCCACGCACAGAUACACACAUGCCACGGACACACACACGGACACGCCACACACAGAUACACACACACGCCAUGGACACGCACACGGACACGCCGUGCACAGAUACACAUGUCACGGACACACCGUGCACAGAUACACACACGUCACGGACACGCCGUGCACAGAUACACACACACGUCACGGACAUGCACACAGACACGCCGUGCACAGAUACACACACACGUCACGGACACGCCGCACACAGAUACACACGCCACGGACACGCACAUGGACACGCUGCGCACAGAUAUACACACAUGCCAUGGACACGCACACGGACACGCCGCGCACAGAUACACACACACGCCACGGACACGCACACCAACAUGCCAUGCACAGAUAUACACACACCACAGACACGCAUAGGUACACCCACAGAUACACACACACACACCACACACACAUACAUGCCAUGCACAACAAAUACACACACACACCAUGAACCACCCCCAUGCACAGAUACACACACAUACACCAUGGACACGCACAUGCACACUCCACGCACAGAUACACACACCACACCAUGCACAAUGCACAUGCACACAGACACACUACACACAGAUAUACACACACAGCACGCACCACACACCAUGCACAGAUACACACACACACCAAACAUGUACACGCCACGCACAGACACAUAGACGCCACACACCAUGCACAUAUACACACCAUGCACAGAUACACAUACACCACACCCAGCUACACACACAUAUACCACACACAUACACACCACAUACAGAUACACACACAUACACAUCACACACGUACACACCACACACAGAUAUACACAUACCACACACAAGUAUAUACCAUGCAGAGGUACACACACAUAAACCACACAUGUGUACAUGCAGACAUACACACAUAUACACACAUAUACAUACACACAUGCACACAUACAUCACAUCACACAUACACAGGCAUACACAGACACACACAUAUGCACACAGACACAACUUGCACAGGCGCACACACAUACAUCACACACACCACACAAAACCUACACACACAGCACAAUACACACACACACCACACACACCACACACAGAUAUACACAUACAUAUCACACACACACAUACAUCCACACACACCCUCCAUAGACACACACAGAGACAUCACACACACAUACCCCUCACAAAACAUACACACACCACAGUACACAAACCCAGUGUACACACCACACACAGAUACACACACACAUCACACAGACAUACACAUAUACAUCCACACACCUUCCAUAGAUGCACACACAUACAUUCACACUCACACAUCACACAUAGACACACACAUGUAUACACACACCCCACAUACACACACAGACAUCACACACACACCACACAAAAUCUAUACACACACCACAAUACACACUCCAACACACACACACAUAGACACACACAGAGACACCCCCCACGUAUACACCACAUACUCUCCUCCACACACCACACAUACACCAUACACACACCAGACCCACAAUACACACACCCAACAUACACACACUACACAAAACAGACACACCAAGCCACACAAACCUUACAUACACCCUCAUCACACACACACACCACAAACAUCCACCAUACGCACAGCACACACAUACCCCACAUGCAAAACCUACAGACCAGACCACUCCACACUCC